GUGCUCACUUCAGCGGCAUGCAUGCUAAAACUGGAACAAUACGGAGAAGAUUAGCACGGCCCCUGCGUGAGGAUGGCCUGCAAAUUCAUGAGGCAUUCUGAAUUUUG